rnacentral:misc_RNA from 1 species
AAGUCGUAACAAGGUUUCCGUAGGUGAACCUGCGGAAGGAUCAUUAAAGAAUUAGGCUUCGCGGCCAAGUUCUCACCCUUUGUCAUUACCGAAACCAUGUUGCUUUUGGCAGGCCCCUUGCAUUUCUCUGGGCCGUGCCAGAGGUUAUAACCCUAGAAUCUCUGCUGUCUGAGUACUAUGCAAUAGUUAAA